AGGAUUGUAGCUCAGUUGUGAAGAGCGUCACAUUGACUUUGUGAAGGUCAAGGGUUCGAGUCCCUUCAAUCCUAC
rnacentral:tRNA from 1 species